UACAGAGGUCUCAAGCGUUGUUCGGAUUCAUUGGGCGUAAAGAGCGCGCAGGCGGCUUGGUAAGUCGGAUGUGAAAUCCCGAGGCUCAACCUCGGGUCUGCAUCCGAUACUGCCCGGCUAGAGGUAGGUAGGGGAGAUCGGAAUUCCUGGUGUAGCGGUGAAAUGCGCAGAUAUCGAGAGGAACACCAGUGGCGAAGGCGAGUCUCUGGACAUUUCCUAACGCUGAGGCACGAAAGCCAGGGGAGCAAACGGG
rnacentral:rRNA from 1 species